rnacentral:lncRNA from 1 species
AGAUGCUGGACUGCGCCAGGACGGUAUGUCGGCUGCCACCAUCUUUCCCGCCCCUGGCGGCAAGGCUAAAAUGUGUAGGUCAUGAGACUCCAGCUUUCCUGGGGAUGCAGGUGGCCAAGUACACGCACAAGAAGACGGGCUUCAACUCCCGUACCAUCUGGCAGCAUGAGAAACGCGAGAUGAUCAUCAGGCAACUUAAGCUCCCGCCCUGGUUCACGGAGACGGUGGGUUGGGUGUGUCGUCCACACUCAUGUGAAUGCCACUUGCUCAGUGUUUCUUGCCGUGACGCCCCCUCAUCGCCCCGCAUCUAUCCGUCCCAGAAGUACCCAUCCCGGUCACACACCGCCUGACAGUUCAGAGUAUAGGCCCCCUUUCGCACACAAUAGUAGUCCUCAGCGAAGUCGACCCGGGGGCGAUUGACAGGCACGUGAGUGCCAUCGAUACUGCCGAUACAGCCCACCAAACCAUCCAACGCGAAGCCCGCCGCCAUACUCUGGGCGCGGGCUGCGUCCGGACGCCGGAUGAGGUUGCGCAUGUUCUUAACUACCGCAACACAGAACUUCUGCACAGCCUUACACGCAGUGGACUCGGCCACCCCAAAUGCGUCCCCGGCGGUGUCGUAGUCGCAACCCUUGGCGAGGUAGUACACCGCCGUGCCCACUAACCGUUCUACUUCCAGCGGCCUCUUCAGAUUGGAGCCGACACCCGCAACAUCGUGCCUCAAGGUGUUGCACAACAACGUGAAGGACGCUUGCGUCAUCCGCAUCUUCUUUUCCCAUUGCUUGUCGGUCCACACCUGGUACAUGUACCGAUCGUAUGUGUCCGUGGACCUCGGGAAUGCGUACCAGGGGCACGUAUACAUCCUGAAACUGUGUGGAUGCGCAGUGACGAUGCCAGCGAGCUCUGCCGUGUCCUCAAGCGCCUUUGCCACGUCGCGCGCCAAGUCCAGAUUUCCAGAUGUUAGCGCCAGGUUGUUCAAUUGCGCAAGCUGGACCGUCAAAAGCGCUAUCCAACAACUUAGAAACAAAGGUAUAACAUCUUCUUUCCUCAUUUUUGGCGCGUAGUGCGACGGAGGUACAGUGGUUAGGUAGGAAAUUGUCUAGGGGAGUCAAGGAAUGCGAGCGAAAACGUGCUGGGCAAUAGUAGUAAUGUGCUCGAGGGCUAAGUUAGCUUAAAAGUAAGCAAUUUCUUACAAUCCGUACGUCUGAUAAAAGUUGUGUAAAGUG